rnacentral:rRNA from 1 species
GAUGCUGGCGGCGUGCCUAACACAUGCAAGUCGAGCGUUUUCUUCGGAGAGAGCGGCGGACGGGUGAGUAACGCGUGGGUAACCUGCCCUGUACACACGGAUAACAUACCGAAAGGUAUACUAAUACGGGAUAACAUACGAAAGUCGCAUGGCUUUUGUAUCAAAGCUCCGGCGGUACAGGAUGGACCCGCGUCUGAUUAGCUAGUUGGUAAGGUAAUGGCUUACCAAGGCAACGAUCAGUAGCCGACCUGAGAGGGUGAUCGGCCACACUGGAACUGAGACACGGUCCAGAUUCCUACGGGAGGCAGCAGUGGGGAAUAUUGCACAAUGGGCGAAAGCCUGAUGCAGCAACGCCGCGUGAGCGAUGAAGGCCUUCGGGUCGUAAAGCUCUGUCCUCAAGGAAGAUAAUGACCGUUCUUGAGGAGGAAGCCCCGGCUAACUAC